rnacentral:lncRNA from 1 species
UUUGAUACAUUGUUCGGACAUAUUACACAUUCACGAUGCAAAAAACAUCUGGGGUACACAAAUAUAUACAUGUUAGAUACACAAUCACCCUCGAGAUAGGGUCAAUAUACACCAAGGAUACACUGUCCAACUUAGGAUACAAUAUUUAUACAUUGCAAAAUAAGGGUUAGCUCUAGCGCGCCAGGAAAGGGUCGAACAUACGGCCUUCAGCUUAGGAAACAUGUGCUCUAUUCACUGA